ACCUCGUAACAGAGCGCUUGUUAAGUUUUAAAAGCAUCGAAAAUUUAACGGAUCUAAACAAUAUACCGACACCUUGUCCAUAUUUUACUAUAUAGUUUAUAUAAAUAUAGUAAUUUUGUGGGGUAGCAGAACGUUGAAUUAAAUUAGGAUAUUUCUUCUGUGAAGAAAUAUAUAACAAACAAUUCAAGUGAGAAUGGUGACAUGAGUAACGAAUAAGAAGGCGGUGGAAGACUAGGCGAAGUUCGAGCAAUCGUACCUAGCUGAAAUUCUACCUAACCCUCCGCCUAAAGCUUAUGGAUGGGGCUAGAACCCUUAAAGUAACGGCCUCUAAGUUAUAAAUCUAAAGGUUUAAACGAUGAGAAAAUCUUUUUUACUAAAUGACAACAUUUCUAAGUGAUAAGUGUGCUGGAAAAAAUAGUAAAUAUAUCUGAUUAAGUAUAUGCAAUAAACUAAAAAGAUGAGUAUAGAAAGAGAAGAUGAAAUAAACCGUACCUAGAAACUAAAACAAGUAAGCUAGUAGAGAAUACGAAGGCGUAAAUGAGCUAACAAUCAUAAAGGAACUCGGCAAACUAACUACCGUAACUUCGGGAUAAGGAGAGCUCAUUAGUCCUGAUUAAUAUCGGGUAAAAAGGAAGAAGCAUGGAAUAGUGUUGUACGACUGUUUAAUUAAAACAAAGCACUUUGCUAAAAGAUUAAAAAUCGAAGUAUUGAGUGUGAUGUCUGCCCGAUCCCGGC
rnacentral:ncRNA from 1 species